rnacentral:rRNA from 1 species
ACAGCAGUCGCCACGGUAAAACGAAGGGGGCUAGCGUUGUUCGGAAUUACUGGGCGUAAAGCGCACGUAGGCGGAUCGAUCAGUCAGGGGUGAAAUCCCAGGGCUCAACCCUGGAACUGCCUUUGAUACUGUCGAUCUGGAGUAUGGAAGAGGUGAGUGGAAUUCCGAGUGUAGAGGUGAAAUUCGUAGAUAUUCGGAGGAACACCAGUGGCGAAGGCGGCUCACUGGUCCAUUACUGACGCUGAGGUGCGAAAGCGUGGGGAGCAAACAGGAUUAGAUACCCGCGUAGUCCCUGUCUCUUAUAC